GAUGAACGCUGACGGCGUGCCUAAUACAUGCAAGUCGAGCGAACAGACGAGGAGCUUGCUCCUCUGACGUUAGCGGCGGACGGGUGAGUAACACGUGGAUAACCUACCUAUAAGACUGGGAUAACUUCGGGAAACCGGAGCUAAUACCGGAUAACAUGUUGAACCGCAUGGUUCAACAGUGAAAGACGGUUUUGCUGUCACUUAUAGAUGGAUCCGCGUCGCAUUAGCUAGUUGGUAAGGUAACGGCUUACCAAGGCAACGAUGCGUAGCCGACCUGAGAGGGUGAUCGGCCACACUGGAACUGAGACACGGUCCAGACUCCUACGGGAGGCAGCAGUAGGGAAUCUUCCGCAAUGGGCGAAAGCCUGACGGAGCAACGCCGCGUGAGUGAAGAAGGUCUUCGGAUCGUAAAACUCUGUUGUUAGGGAAGAACAAAUGUGUAAGUAACUAUGCACGUCUUGACGGUACCUAAUCAGAAAGCCACGGCUAACUACGUG
rnacentral:rRNA from 1 species